CACCUAUCACCGUGAGGUUAACCUUCUGAUUUCUCGUCGGGCUAUUUUUGUAAUCCACCCUGCACCUGUACACGCCCGCGUCGGUUGCCUCCAAGGGAUCGAUCUCCAAUUUCGCGGGAUCCACGUUCGUCCUCAUGGUCGCCCUUUCGUCGAAUACGUAUGAAUCUGACCAAAGCUUCGCCUGAGCUAUCGAUUUGCCGCGAGCAUCUAGACUGUAUAUCGGCUCGCCGUCCCUCUCGUCUUUGUACCAAAAAACCAUGCUCACCACCUCGCUUCUACUCGUUGGAUCGAUGUCGCAAGCACGGCUGAACGGAUUUCAUUUGGAAGAACGCGGAUCUAAGUUGUCGAACCGAAAGGAGCACGCCAUAUUCGGGAAAAGUCUUAAAGUUGCUGUGAAAUCGAAAAGACAAUCGUCACUCGUAAAUAAACACCGAUAACAAGACACCGCUCGAAGCUACUAUUUAUUAACUAUUUAUUAUUUAGCAAUUCGUUGAUCCACGAUUCGUUUAAAAUUUACAG
rnacentral:misc_RNA from 1 species